UAGGGAAUCUUCGGCAAUGGACGAAAGUCUGACCGAGCAACGCCGCGUGAGUGAAGAAGGUUUUCGGAUCGUAAAACUCUGUUGUUAGAGAAGAACAAGGACGUUAGUAACUGAACGUCCCCUGACGGUAUCUAACCAGAAAGCCACGGCUAACUACGUGCCAGCAGCCGCGGUAAUACGUAGGUGGCAAGCGUUGUCCGGAUUUAUUGGGCGUAAAGCGAGCGCAGGCGGUUUCUUAAGUCUGAUGUGAAAGCCCCCGGCUCAACCGGGGAGGGUCAUUUGAAAAUGGGAGACUUGAGUGCAGAAGAGGAGAGUGGAAUUCCAUGUGUAGCGGUGAAAUGCGUAGAUAUAUGGGGGAACACCAGUGGCGAAGGCGGCUCUCUGGUCUGUAACUGACGCUGAGGCUCGAAAGCGUGGGGAGCAAACAGG
rnacentral:rRNA from 1 species